rnacentral:lncRNA from 1 species
UCCCCUUCGUGCAUCAUCUCAAACUCACCACUGUCGUCUUCUAUGAUCAAUUCGAAAGCCCACAACUCGUCGUCAUUGAUGCUACUUUGAGCUGAUUGUCUCGGUGGCCUAUAAAGCUUCCUUGUCUUGAUGGCAUCGAUGAUCCAUCUUACCUGAUUUAGGCUUACACGAAUUGGAUCCUUGGGUUUUAUGGGACUGGGUCUUGUCAUCAAAUCUUGACUUUGUUUUCUUGGGCCAGGCUUCUUCCGGGCCUUGUUUCAAUAUUGGCGCAAAAUCUGAUGGUUGCCUCUCAGGUGACUGGAACGCCCUCCUGUGGUCACAUCACCCAACAAAUAAGUAAAUAUAACUUGAUGUAGAUUUUCUGCUGUCUUAACAUCCAGCAAAAUUAGAAUCAAAAUAACCAAUGAUCUCCAACUGAUCUGACCUCUUGUAUGUGAG